GCCUGAUUGCAUUGACAGCAUCAUUCUGUUAGAUAAAAAUAACAGAGUGGAGUUAUUUCACUUACUAGUAUAGUUUUGCUGUCUCAUGCUGUCUAUAUGAAUUUAUCUAUUUUCACUUUUACCUUAUUAGUUAAUAACUCUCAUUUCCAUUUAGCAGCAGAUAUGAUCUUGUGGAAGGAUAUGUUACUGCCCACAUAUCUUUUAUUUCUUACUUGCACUCCAUGGUGUAACCAUUUUCGUGAUAGUGCUUAGGCCCAUCUAACAUCUUAGUUUGCAAUUUAACUUGUGUUAUUGAUGGCAUAUUGGCAUGUAAUUGAUCCUCUUUACGUUCAAAUUGGUCUAGUGCGGAAGUAGCAUCUUGCAAUUUGAUUUUGCAUGGCAUUUGAGAUCCUGCUCUCAUCCAGAGAGAUUGUAGCACAUUGACAUUCUGUUGCUGAUGUUAAGUUGCUUUUCACUUGGCUUGUGGGUAUGAGGUCAACAAAUUACUGUAUCAUUUAUCAAUUUGUUCAUGAUGUCUAUAGACAUGGUAUGUUCUCUAAAAAAAGAAUCAAUUUGGCUGGUUGAACCGUAAAAGUGAUGUUUCUGUUUGGUGUUUGCUGGAUGACCAUUGGCAGUCAUGCUUGAACUUACAUUCCUGAUGAGUUGAAUAAUACAUUUGCCUGUGAAAAUUGUAUUUGAAUUUCAGUCAAUUUACAUUGGGGGAAUUGUGGAUGAGGGGCAAGUGAUUGGUGGGACUCUAUGUGGAGUGACCUAUUUUGUCCUUUAGAAUGGACCUACCAGAAUGCCUUUAUCUGCAUGGACACCCUAUUCUUGCUUUCAUUUAUUUUCUGGGAGGAAAUCUUCUGCGUGUAUUUUGUCAGAUUUGGAGAUUACAAAAGGUGUAAGACAUGAUAACUGAAAACUUCAUGCAACCGUUUUUCCUUUUUUUUUUUGG
rnacentral:misc_RNA from 1 species